rnacentral:rRNA from 1 species
CGUUCCCGGGUCUUGUACACACCGCCCGUCACACCAUGGGAGUGGGUUUUACCAGAAGUAGGUAGCUUAACCGCAAGGAGGGCGCUUACCACGGUAGGGCUCGUGACUGGGGUG